UACAGAGGUCUCAAGCGUUGUUCGGAUUCAUUGGGCGUAAAGGGUGCGUAGGCGGCUCGGCACGUCCGUUGUGAAAUCGCUCGGCUCAACUGGGCGAGGUCAGCGGAUACGGUCGAGCUUGAGCCAGCUAGGGGCAAUGGAAUUCCCGGUGUAGUGGUGGAAUGCGUAGAUAUCGGGAGGAACACCAGUGGCGAAGGCGGUUGCCUGGGGCUGUGCUGACGCUGAUGCGCGAAAGCGUGGGGAGCGAUCCGG
rnacentral:rRNA from 1 species